GACGAACGCUGGCGGCGUGCCUAAUACAUGCAAGUAGAACGCACAGUUUAUACCGUAGCUUGCUACACCAUAGACUGUGAGUUGCGAACGGGUGAGUAUCGCGUAGGUAACCUGCCUGGUAGCGGGGGAUAACUAUUGGAAACGAUAGCUAAUACCGCAUAAUAUUAAUUAUUGCAUGAUAAUUAAUUGAAAGGUGCAAUUGCACCACUACCAGAUGGACCUGCGUUGUAUUAGCUAGUAGGUGAGGUAACGGCUCACCUAGGCGACGAUACAUAGCCGACCUGAGAGGGUGAUCGGCCACACUGGGACUGAGACACGGCCCAGACUCCUACGGGAGGCAGCAGUAGGGAAUCUUCGGCAAUGGACGAAAGUCUGACCGAGCAACGCCGCGUGAGUGAAGAAGGUUUUCGGAUCGUAAAGCUCUGUUGUAAGAGAAGAACGGGUGUGAGAGUGGAAAGUUCACACUGUGACGGUAUCUUACCAGAAAGGGACGGCUAACUACGUG
rnacentral:rRNA from 1 species